CCCGCGCCUCUCCUCCCUGCCCCGAUACGAUCGCGGGAUGCAAUUGGCCGCCAAGGGAGCCGCGUGGCAGAGCCCGAGCUGGAAGGGGAGGUUGUGGUCGGGUGGGGGUCGGCUCUGCUCGCACGUAACAGCGAUAGGACGAGAGGGAAUGGCCUUCAGUUGCGCUAGGAGAGGCUCGGGUUGGGUAUUAGAAGCAUUUCUUCUCGGAGUGUGCUGUGCUUGGUGGAGGAGGUCAUGCAUGCCAUCACAGUCAGCAGUGGACCUCCCAGCAGAGGCACAUGGUGCAUGAAGGGACAAGGCAAACCCCACAGGCGCUUGGACCCACAGCAGUCCUUUGGAAGGCAGAUAGACGAUUUCAGCUGUGCCAUUGAUGUACGCUCCUCCAACCCAGGUGGCUGCAAACAUGAAAGACACAAAGGUUCUAGGUCCAAGGUCCAAGGCUAAUGCAGCAGAUAGGGCUGAGACUGCGUCUGUUCAAAGCUGUCUGAACUAAACCUACAAUAAUAAUCAAAAUAAGCCCAGGGAGCGGGGAAAGGAUAUUUACUGCUGACCCACCGAAGGCACUGCUUUCUGAGAUACAAAGGCAGCACAUCUUCAUUUCAUAGAAUCAUAGAAUGAUUAAGG